CACGUAGGCGGGUUGUUAAGUCAGGGGUGAAAUCCCGGAGCUCAACUCCGGAACUGCCUUUGAUACUGGCAAUCUAGAGACUGGAAGAGGUUAGUGGAAUUCCCAGUGUAGAGGUGAAAUUCGUAGAUAUUGGGAAGAACACCAGUGGCGAAGGCGGCUAACUGGUCCAGUACUGACGCUGAGGUGCGAAAGCGUGGGGAGGCAAAACA
rnacentral:rRNA from 1 species